rnacentral:rRNA from 1 species
CAUAGGUUUGGUCCCAGCCUUCCUGUUAACUUUCAAUAGACUUAUACAUGCAAGCAUCCACGCCCCGGUGAGUAACGCCCUUCGAAUCACAUAGGACUAAAAGGAGCAGGUAUCAAGCACACACUCUUGUAGCUCACAACGCCUUGCUUAACCACACCCCCACGGGAGACAGCAGUAACAAAAAUUAAGCCAUAAACGAAAGUUUGACUAAGCCAUAUUGACCAGGGUUGGUAAAUCUCGUGCCAGCCACCGCGGUCAUACGAUUGACCCAAGCUAACAGGAGUACGGCGUAAAGCGUGUUAAAGCAUCAUACUAAAUAGAGUUAAAUUUUAAUUAAACUGUAAAAAGCCAUAAUUAUAACAAAAAUAAAUGACGAAAGUAACCCUACAAUAGCUGAUACACCAUAGCUAAGACCCAAACUGGGAUUAGAUACCCCACUAUUCUUAGCCCUAAACACAAAUAAUUAU